rnacentral:tRNA from 1 species
ACCUGUCUAUCUUAGUUGGUAAAGCACAAUGCUCUUAACCUUGUGGUUUUGGGUUCAAGCCCCACGAUGGGUG